rnacentral:rRNA from 1 species
UGGGGAAUAUUGCACAAUGGGCGCAAGCCUGAUGCAGCCAUGCCGCGUGUAUGAAGAAGGCCUUCGGGUUGUAAAGUACUUUCAGCGAGGAGGAAGGCGUUGUGGUUAAUAACCGCAGCGAUUGACGUUACUCGCAGAAGAAGCACCGGCUAACUCCGUGCCAGCAGCCGCGGUAAUACGGAGGGAGCAAGCGUUAAUCGGAAUUACUGGGUGUAAAGCGCACGCAGGCGGUCUGUCAAGUCGGAUGUGAAAUCCCCGGGCUCAACCUGGGAACUGCAUCCGAAACUGGCAGGCUAGAGUCUUGUAGAGGGGGGUAGAAUUCCAGGUGUAGCGGUGAAAUGCGUAGAGAUCUGGAGGAAUACCGGUGGCGAAGGCGGCCCCCUGGACAAAGACUGACGCUCAGGUGCGAAAGCGUGGGGAGCAAACA